rnacentral:rRNA from 1 species
AGAGUUUGAUCCUGGCUCAGGAUGAACGCUGGCGGCGUGCUUAACACAUGCAAGUCGAACGAUGAUCCCAGCUUGCUGGGGGAUUAGUGGCGAACGGGUGAGUAACACGUGAGUAACCUGCCCUUAACUCUGGGAUAAGCCUGGGAAACUGGGUCUAAUACCGGAUAUGACUCCUCAUCGCAUGGUGGGGGGUGGAAAGCUUUAUUGUGGUUUUGGAUGGACUCGCGGCCUAUCAGCUUGUUGGUGAGGUAAUGGCUCACCAAGGCGACGACGGGUAGCCGGCCUGAGAGGGUGACCGGCCACACUGGGACUGAGACACGGCCCAGACUCCUACGGGAGGCAGCAGUGGGGAAUAUUGCACAAUGGGCGAAAGCCUGAUGCAGCGACGCCGCGUGAGGGAUGACGGCCUUCGGGUUGUAAACCUCUUUCAGUAGGGAAGAAGCGAAAGUGACGGUACCUGCAGAAGAAGCGCCGGCUAACUACGUGCCAGCAGCCGCGGUAAUACGUAGGGCGCAAGCGUUAUCCGGAAUUAUUGGGCGUAAAGAGCUCGUAGGCGGUUUGUCGCGUCUGCCGUGAAAGUCCGGGGCUCAACUCCGGAUCUGCGGUGGGUACGGGCAGACUAGAGUGAUGUAGGGGAGACUGGAAUUCCUGGUGUAGCGGUGAAAUGCGCAGAUAUCAGGAGGAACACCGAUGGCGAAGGCAGGUCUCUGGGCAUUAACUGACGCUGAGGAGCGAAAGCAUGGGGAGCGAACAGGAUUAGAUACCCUUGUAGUCC